UGUUUAGUUUGGACAAAUCAGAUUAGGAGCACUUUGCUCAAUCUAUCUUCAUGGAACGUUGGCUGUUGAUGAGCUCUUGGAAGGGCUAAAAGCUGGUCUUGGUUUUGUUUUGAUAAAGAUGUGUUUAUGGGCUGCAAAACUCUGUUGAUUUUAUGGCAAACACAAGUUUUUGAUUGACGCACGUAAGAUGUUCGAUAAAAUGCCGUAGAGAAG